rnacentral:rRNA from 1 species
GUCGAGAAUAAUUCACAAUGGACGAAAGUCUGAUGGUGCAACGCCGCGUGGAGGAUGAAGGUCUUCGGAUUGUAAACUCCUGUCAUCGGGGAGUAAGACCUGGCGGUGAAUAGCCGGCAGGGUUGAUAGUACCAGAAGAGGAAGGGACGGCUAACUUCGUGCCAGCAGCCGCGGUAAUACGAAGGUCCCAAGCGUUGUUCGGAAUCACUGGGCGUAAAGGGAGCGUAGGCGGCGUGGUAAGUCAGAUGUGAAAUCCCGGGGCUCAACCCCGGAACUGCAUCCGAUACUGCCAUGCUUGAGGGUUGGAGAGGUAGCUGGAAUUCUCGGUGUAGCAGUGAAAUGCGUGGAUAUCGAGAGGAACACUCGUGGCGAAGGCGAGCUACUGGACAACAUCUGACGCUGAGGCUCGAAGGCCAGGGGAGCAAAAGGGAUUAGAUACCCUGGUAGUCC